rnacentral:tRNA from 1 species
GAGGAUGUAGCUCAGUGGUAGAGCGCUUGCUUUGUAUGUACGAGGCUCUGGGUUAGAUGCCCAGAACCACCA